rnacentral:tRNA from 1 species
UGGCGGGUAGCUCAGUUCGGUCAGAGCGCUUCCCUGAUAAGGAAGAGGCCGGGGGUUCAAGUCCCUCUCUGCCAAC